ensembl:lncRNA
AGCACCUGGUGGGAAGGCAGGGCCAACAAAGGGGAGCUCAGCUGUAUGCAAUGCAACUGAGUGACUGGAAGGGGUGGGACCAGGAUUCACCCCCUCCCAGACUUCAUUUAAGGGUUGGCAGUGGAAGCAGAGACAUAUUGCUGGAGAUCUCUGUGUAUCUAAGGCUUUCUGAAGAAACAGAAGUAUUUUUCAAAGAGAAGGCACUGCUCAGAGGGGUGGACUUCUGUUUGCUGUGGACCAUCUCAGACCUCAGUUUAACUCUUCCUGAGUAUCCAUAGCUCCAGAGGCAGUGAGGCUGCUCAUUCAAGCUGCUGUUGCAGAACGUGCAGUGUAACCAAACAGCAACAAAAAUCAGGAUCUUUGAUAUCACUGGAGUACAUCAGCAACUGAAAAUAAAGAGCGAGAUGCUUGGCAUGGGGGUGCACACAACCUGUUACAAGUCUUUUCACACAGGGCCAGGUGCCACAGGGAAAGCCGGGAGAGAAACAACCGUUCACUGUGGACAAAGCUAUAAGACUGCAUUCCUGCCUGGAAAACCUCUGCAACUACAGUCAAGUGACAACACCUUUCCGUUGAAGCAGUUUCACACGUGCCAGAAACUGCUACACAAUGCCAUAAGCAGCAAAGAAGCUGAGCAGGAGGUGACUUGAAACAGAGAUCCAUCACCAUGUCUGGAAGUGAAGAGGAUGUAUAGUGGGGGGGGCUGGGGGUCAGCUUACUUACCAAGAUCACAUAGCCUAAAGAAAGUGGACUUGGAUCUUCAGCAAGUCUAAGAUGAAUACUGCUCUUCUCCUUAUAGCAACUAGCCCUAAACACAAAGCCAAUACCUCAUUAGAAGACUCCCUUGUACGGAGAAAAUAAGCUGCUUCUUCACCUAGAUACCCAAGUGACUGAUCACUGAGAGGGCACCUUGUAGGGUGACACCAAAUGAUCAGUGAACAGAAAUAGGAGUCCAAAACUAUUUAGCUAUUUGUAAUAUUCAGCUACAGACACAGGCUCAUCUAGUCCAGAUGCUUGAGAACACUGACGUUACAGCCAACCCAGAGUCUGCUUUUGUUUAAGACAGCCUUUGGUACCUAAACAGAUUUGAGGCUGUUGGAAGACCACCUGUGUGUGUUGGUGCUAACUUCAAAGAGGGCUGAGACGUGAUCCCAGAGAAAACCAGAACCGGUAUGUACAAGAGUCCUUCCACUGCAGGCACAAAGUGUGUGUCCCCAAACAUGUCACAUUCAAUAAGAAAGGCUCUGGCGGAAAGAUGGAACUAGUACAUCAGGGCAUUGUAUCAUCUGAAAACAGUCUUUUCCUAAGGUAAUGUUGGCUAGGGACUUUUUUGAGUAGAUGGGGCCUCAGAACUGACAAACGUAACUAGUGUGUCAAUGUGCUAAUGAAGUUAGUCGUGCAUUGUUUGGAAAAUGGUACGUUUCCUCACAAGAUUUGCAAUUAAACAUCUAACAGAAAAUAAUGAUUUCCUUGCAGGCACUUAGGCACCAAAUAUAAAGACACAGAGGGAGAGCUAACCAGUGAAAGUACCUGCUAAAUACCACUAUUGAAAGCCACAGCUAUUUAUGAGUCUUUGUAUUCACUGUUGAUUGUAAGAACUAUAAAAUUAAAGUAUCCAGUGGGAGAAAGUAUGAUAUUUAACUUGCAGAAUUCCUUUCACAUACAGAACAGGUGCUUCUUUUUAUAAAGUGCAGGAGUUGGGAAGUUGAGAAAGAUAGCACACUGAUUUGCAUGUGUAUCAUCUUACUGAGGAGGAACAAGACAUUAGCUAAAUUACAAAGGGGGAAAACUGUAUUUUGCUGCAUAUAAGUAAAGAUUUCUAUAAUGAGCUUGAGUAAGCAGGAGAGCGGUGUUGGCUUGCAUGUGGAUUUCUGCCCACUGCAAACAGCAUGGGCAACUGUACCUUUCACUCAAAUCAGCUGGAAAGUUUUAUUAUGUUGAGCAGAGAUUCACAUUUGCACUGUUUGAACUUACACAAAAUAUCAGGAAAAAGAAAAGGGAAACAUGAGAGCAAAUCGAGUGUGAAACGUUUUGAAGACAUCCAGUCAAACAAUUUUUUUGAAGGAAGUUAUUGCUUCUUCCUGCAUCACUUUGCUCUUAUUUUUCAUUGUUCUUCAUCUUCUUUGUCUUUAUUUAUAUACUGAUGAGUCAAGAGAAAAAAAAAAAAAAAGGAAAAUGGUCACAGACAAGAUUCCUACAAUAAUAUUUGCCUACACACUGGUAUGGUUGAAGGUACAAAUUUGGCUAUCACAGCCUAAAAAGGCUGUCUGUCCUUCUGUGAGACAAGAAUGCCAAAAUCUAUGUGCUCUAGUUUCUACUUUCAAGUAAAGACUUCUGAAGUCUUGUUUUAAGAAAUGAGGCUGCAGGGAAUUCUCCUAUUUAAGAGAUAAUCUAGAUUAAAAAAGAAAAGAAAAGAAAAAGGAUAAUCUAAUUCAAUAAGAAGAUGUGAAGAUUUCAUUUGCAAGACUUCUCCCUUGAGAAGAGAGCAGCUUCUCUUUAAAUAAACAAACAAGUUGAUUUAUUCAUAAUUACUCUGGGUAGAUAUUUUUUGCCAAUCAAACAUAACAGGUAUACAUUGCAGAACAACUCCACAGUGAAUUAAGAGGAUGCAACUGAAUAAAAACAAGCAGGUCAUCACAUUUAGGCUAGAAUAAUGAACUGCAAAAAUAAAAGGUGAGGAAGGACAAUCUAAGUAACGGCAUGGCAGAAAAUGAUUUGACUGUUAACAUAGAUAACAGGCUGAAUGGGAGUAAACAGUGUUAAGCAGCUAUUAAGGAAAAAUAAAGGCGAAGGCUGCAAUUUAUAGCCAGUGUUAUCACUCUCAAAACAUUCAGUAGAUCUUCAGAUGUCCUUUGAGCUGCUUAUUCCACAGCUAUUGGAUGCUGUGUCCAGUUUUAGGUACUUCAAGGAAGGUACGACCUAUUGAAAAAAAUCAGAGGAGGACAACCGUAAUUACCAGGCUUCAUCUAAGCAUAAUCAUAAGGAAAGGCUGAAGUAAUUGCCUUAGAUUUAGUCUAAGCUUUAUUUGCACCGCUACCAUUUUCCUGGUGCGUUACCAGGAUACACCUUGGGAAAGGCAGGGGGGGACAGGAGAAAAUGGGAAAAAAUUCUUCCCUAUGAUUGCAG